rnacentral:pre_miRNA from 1 species
AUAAUACUCCCUCCGUUCCAAUUACUUGUCGCAGGUAUGGAUGUAUCUAGAUGUAUUUUAGUUCUAGGUACAUUCAUUUCCGCGACGGAUAAUUUGGAACGGAGGGAGUAGGAA